rnacentral:tRNA from 1 species
AACAAAGAAGUAAAAAAUUACAUUUAGUUUCGACCUAAACCUAAGGAAUUUAAACCUCAUGUUU